rnacentral:rRNA from 1 species
GCCUUGGAGUGGGGAAUAACAACUGGAAACAGCUGCUAAUACCGCAUGAUGCAGUUGAGUCGCAUGGCUCUGACUGCCAAAGAUUUAUCGCUCUGAGAUGGACUCGCGUCUGAUUAGCUAGUUGGUGGGGCAACGGCCCACCAAGGCGACGAUCAGUAGCCGGACUGAGAGGUUGGCCGGCCACAUUGGGACUGAGACACGGCCCAGACUCCUACGGAAGGCAGCAG